GACGAACGCUGGCGGCGUGCUUAACACAUGCAAGUCGAGCGGUAAGGCCUUUCGGGGUACACGAGCGGCGAUCGGGUGAGUAACACGUGGGUGAUCCGCCCUGCACUCUGGGAUAAGCCUGGGAAACUGGGUCUAAUACUGGAUAUGACCUCAGCAUGCAUGUGCUGGGGUGGAAAGCUUUUGUGGUGCAGGAUGGGCCCGCGGCCUAUCAGCUUGUUGGUGGGGUAAUGGCCUACCAAGGCGACGACGGGUAGCCGACCUGAGAGGGUGACCGGCCACACUGGGACUGAGACACGGCCCAGACUCCUACGGGAGGCAGCAGUGGGGAAUAUUGCACAAUGGGCGGAAGCCUGAUGCAGCGACGCCGCGUGAGGGAUGAAGGCCUUCGGGUUGUAAACCUCUUUCAGCAGGGACGAAGCGUGAGUGACGGUACCUGCAGAAGAAGCACCGGCUAACUACGUGCCAGCCGCCGCGGUAA
rnacentral:rRNA from 1 species